CCUACGGGAGGCAGCAGUGGGGAAUAUUGCACAAUGGGGGAAACCCUGAUGCAGCGACGCCGCGUGAGUGAAGAAGUAUUUCGGUAUGUAAAGCUCUAUCAGCAGGGAAGAAAAUGACGGUACCUGAGUAAGAAGCCCCGGCUAACUACGUGCCAGCAGCCGCGGUAAUACGUAGGAGGCGAGCGUUAUCCGGAUUUAUUGGGUUUAAAGGGUGCGUAGGCGGAUGAUAAAGUCAGCGGGAAAAUGUCCGGGCUAAACCCGGGCCGGCCGUUGAAACUGGGUAGCUUGAGUGGGCGAGAGGUAAGUGGAAUGCGUGGUGUAGCGGUGAAAUGCAUAGAUAUCACGAAGAACACCGGUUGCGAAGGCAGCUUACCGG
rnacentral:rRNA from 1 species